AAACAGAAAGGUAACUCAGCCUUGUAUCUUGCAGCUGACCACCAUAUAUCUAGCAUGAAGAAAGAUCACCUGAGUGCUCGUGAGCUCAGAUGGCUGCUGCCAGAAAGAGAAGUCAUACACACAGGGGAACAUAGAAAGCUCGGAAUAUAACAACUUCCACAGAGAAAUAAGAACGAAUAAAGCUCUGGAAAACAUCUAAGUAACCACUGAGGAAGAAGCAAAUCAGCAGGGACAAGCAAAGACAAGACACCAUUAGAGAUGCCUGCCACUAAAAUACCAGUUCAGAUUUGUUCAAGUUGUAACGCGAACAGUUUGAAAAGUCAAAGCAACCUUGACUCUUUAAGCUCUUACAGAGAGAAAUUACUCUAUUUCUUAAGCCUGAAAACAACCUAGAAUGGAAAAAUUAACUUGUAUUCACUUUUGUGCUGCAAAUGUAUUGGAACUCAGUCAGGCAAGCGCUCCUCCACCUGACAGAAGCAGAUUUUAUCAAAAUCAAUUUUGCCUUACAGGCCAUGAAACUGAAUUGUAUAAAAUUAGGGAUAUUCAAUUCUGAAGUUUAAUUCAGAUAUUCACCUGCUAUUCAGUAUCACAAUUAACGGAAAAUGAGGCGUUAGACAUACCUUUGCCACAUUCUGCACACAAGUAUUCUCGGAUAUUAUCAUGGACUCUCAUAUGUU